rnacentral:misc_RNA from 1 species
AACGCACGAGACCUGCGGACCUGCGGAGGGAUCAUUAUUGGAUCUUGGUUUUACUACAAGAGGUUGAGAGCUUUACUGUUCUUGCUUCUUCAAACAAACGAUCACAACAACUAGUAUAGCAGUUGAUUUGGUCUCUGUCUGGUGCGGUUUGUGUGUGUUGGCUGCUGCCAAAUACUCUGCAACAACCGUGCAUAGCGGAGAAGACACCAAAAGUAUUUGCCUGAUAAGAUACAUGGCGUA